rnacentral:rRNA from 1 species
CAAUAGCGUAUAUUAAAGUUGUUGCGGUUAAAAAGCUCGUAGUUGGAUUUGUGGCGUACGGUGGGUUCCGGGCACUUGUUGUCUGAGUAACUUGCUGUUGCCAUCCUUGGGUGGAACCUGUGUGGCAUUAGGUUGUCGUGCAGGGAUGCCAUCAUUUAUCUGUGAAAAUUAGAGUGUUCAAAGCAGGCUUAUGCCGUUGAAUAUAUUAGCAUGGAAUAAUGAGAUAGGACUUUUUGCUAUUUUGUUGGUUUGCGCAAGAGGUAAUGAUUAAUAGGGACAGUUGGGGUAGUUCUGUAUUUCCAUUGUCAGAGGUGAAAUUCUUGGAUUUUUGGAAGACGAACUACUGCGAAAGCAUUUACCAAGGAUGUUUUCAUUAAUCAAGAACGAAAGUUAGGGGAUCGAAGAUGAUUAGAUACCA